rnacentral:rRNA from 1 species
AAACAGAAGAGUUUGAUCCUGGCUCAGGACGAACGCUGGCGGCGUGCUUAACACAUGCAAGUCGAACGGGGUGCUUUGAAGGGCAACUGGAGAGGCACCUAGUGGCGGACGGGUGCGUAACGCGUGAACAAUCUGUCUUUGCGAGGGGGAUAACACUUGGAAACAGGUGCUAAUACCGCAUAGGACCACG